rnacentral:rRNA from 1 species
UUGCUUCCUGGUGGCGAGCGGCGGACGGGUGAGUAAUGCAUAGGAAUCUGCCCGGUAGUGGGGGAUAACCUGGGGAAACCCAGGCUAAUACCGCAUACGUCCUACGGGAGAAAGCAGGGGCUCUUCGGACCUUGCGCUAUCGGAUGAGCCUAUGUCGGAUUAGCUGGUUGGUGAGGUAACGGCUCACCAAGGCGACGAUCCGUAGCUGGUCUGAGAGGAUGAUCAGCCACACUGGGACUGAGACACGGCCCAGACUCCUACGGGAGGCAGCAGUGGGGAAUAUUGGACAAUGGGCGCAAGCCUGAUCCAGCCAUGCCGCGUGUGUGAAGAAGGCUUUCGGGUUGUAAAGCACUUUCAGCGGGGAGGAAAGCCUUGGGGUUAAUACCCCCGAGGAACGACGUUACCCGCAGAAGAAGCACCGGCUAACUCCGUGCCAGCAGCCGCGGUAAUACGGAGGGUGCGAGCGUUAAUCGGAAUUACUGGGCGUAAAGCGCGCGUAGGCGGCUUGAUAAGCCGGUUGUGAAAGCCCCGGGCUCAACCUGGGAACCGCAUCCGGAACUGUCAGGCUAGAGUGCAGGAGAGGAAGGUAGAAUUCCCGGUGUAGCGGUGAAAUGCGUAGAGAUCGGGAGGAAUACCAGUGGCGAAGGCGGCCUUCUGGACUGACACUGACGCUGAGGUGCGAAAGCGUGGGUAGCAAACAGGAUUAGAUACCCUGGUAGUCCACGCCGUAAACGAUGUCGACCAGCCGUUGGGUGCCUCGAGCACUUAGUGGCGCAGUUAACGCGAUAAGUCGACCGC